UACGAAGGGGGCUAGCGUUGCUCGGAAUUACUGGGCGUAAAGGGCGCGUAGGCGGAUAGUUAAGUCAGAGGUAAAAGCCCAGGGCUCAACCUUGGAACUGCCUUUGAUACUGGCUAUCUUGAGUACGGGAGAGGUGUGUGGAACUCCGAGUGUAGAGGUGAAAUUCGUAGAUAUUCGGAAGAACACCAGUGGCGAAGGCGACACACUGGCCCGUUACUGACGCUGAGGCGCGAAAGCGUGGGGAGCAAACAGG
rnacentral:rRNA from 1 species